rnacentral:rRNA from 1 species
UACGUAGGGUGCGAGCGUUGUCCGGAUUUAUUGGGCGUAAAGAGCUCGUAGGCGGUUCGGUAAGUCAGGUGUGAAAUCUCCACGCUCAACGUGGAGGCGCCACCUGAAACUGCCGUGACUCGAGUCUGGUAGGGGAGUGUGGAAUUCCCGGUGUAGCGGUGAAAUGCGCAGAUAUCAGGAGGAACACCGGUGGCGAAGGCGGGUCUCUGGGACGAUACUGACGCUGAGGAGCGAAAGCGUGGGGAGCGAACAGG